CGCUUGAAAAAUUCCACAUACCGUCUACGGCCGUACCGUCCUAUCACUGAAAUUAAGCAACGUUGGGCUCUGUUAGUACUUGGAUGGGUGAUCUCCUGGGAACAGCGAGGAUUGUAGAGA
rnacentral:rRNA from 1 species